UUUGGAUUCUGUAGCCUGCCUGUUCUGUCUGAAACAAAAAUGGACAUCAGAAAAUGGAUUAUCAGCAUCAAGUGAUCUGCUGGAUGCCUCGCCGGUCGUCAUCAGGCAAUUGGAAAUUCUCCGUCUCCAUCCACUGGUAAAAGGGAGCCAUGAUGGCCAGUGGGUUGUUGGAAUGCUCUAAACCGAGGGCGUGGCCCAGCUCAUGGACUGCAACCAGGAAGAGGUCAUUACCUGUGUAUGAUGAAGCAAAGACAUGAGCCAAUCUGCAGGAGUGAUGCUGGCAGAGUCAAAAAAUUCAAAUGGAACAAAGACUGUGCGACUGGUAGGAAGUCGACAUGCUGAGGUUAAAAGAACACUGCCUCUGCAAAAAGUUUGACUAAUUAGACACGUGUCCAACUAAAGUAGGACAAGAUUGUAAUUUGGUUCUACUCUGCUGUUGAGCUGUGUAAGUAGCGUGGUGCAACAAAGGGACCUGUCUAAAGAUCUCCCCCAAGUGGAACACACUCCCACUUACUGAGGCAUUCCACUGUCCCUGUGAUCUGUCCGGCUACACAUCCCACACACAGCUGAUCACACAGAUACACACACACAACGUUUAGCUGUCUGCUGUGUCUGUAGAUAA